rnacentral:lncRNA from 1 species
ACAAGCCGGUGGGCGUGGCAAAGGGAUGAGGGUGGGACGAUGCGGUGUUGCCAUGACGACGGCUUCCGGGAGGGCAGGUUGAGGUGACUUCCGGCCGGAAGGCGAGACUCCGCGGGAAAAGCGCCUCUGGUUGGUAGACCGGUAGGUUUCUGGCUGAGGCCGUUUCCUCAAGAGCCACCGUGGGUCUGUGCUAGGGUCACGCCGCCGGCCUCCGUUUCCUUUAUCCUCCUCUCUCACCAAACGCUUUUCCCGUCCAGUUAUAAAGUCAAGUUGUUUCCCUAAGAUGCAAACCUGACAAAAGUGAUUCAUACGUUUCCAGCCCAUGACACAGAUCUUUGCAACGUGCCCUGCUGUCCAACACACUCUAAAACUAAAGCUACUGAAAUAAGUAAUCUGUUGGUGGCGUCAAUAUAUGUGAGGCCACAAGCAGAUUCCUGCAUCCAGUAUUACGGCAGCAAGGAACAUAAGAACCACAGAAGGUGAAAUCACAGAAGGUGAAGCCUUAGCUGUAUUUGUUGGUUAGUAAUUGCUCCUGUGGAAAAGCGGAAAUGUUUAAAGGCCUGCACGUUUCUGAAAUGUAUCUGUAAGCUCAUUUAAUACAAUGAUUUUCAUAUUUGGAGUGAUCUAUGUAAAAAUCUCUUUGAAAAUACCAUGUCAAGCUAAAUGUUUACUAUCUCAUGAAAAUUUGAUGAUUUGAUAAUUUAUAUAAAACUAACCACUUAAAGCAGUCCCUGGAUUCAAGCAUGGGAGUUUUAAAAAGGUCUAUGAGCGUGUCAUUCUAUAUACUGUCCCAAAAUAUCGAACCCUAUAUCCAGAAUAUAGAAAAUAGACUGAAUAGAAGAAACAUGCAAUUAUGUAUGAGAGAUGUAGGCUAAUUCAAUGUAUCAGGUCAUUCAUUAAAUGUAUUAUAAAGUGAGUAAAGUUGGUGGGAGAAAUUUUC